rnacentral:rRNA from 1 species
GGAUCAUUACAGAGCCCAUGCCCUCCGGGUAGAUCUCCCACCCACUGUUAUCAUUACUCUCGUUGCUUUGGCGGGCCGCCGGCUCCGGCUGGGGCGUGCCCGCCGGAGGCUCCGAGACUCUGAAUGUUACUGUCGUCCGAGUAACUAUUUUAUCGUUAAAACUUUCAACAACGGAUCUCUUGGUUCUGGCAUCGAUGAAGAACGCAGCGAAAUGCGAUAAGUAAUGCAAAUUGCAGAAUUCAGUGAGUCAUCGAAUCUUUGAACGCACAUUGCGCCCUGUGGUAUUCUGCAGGGCUUGCCUGUUCGAGCGUCAUUUCAACCCUCAAGCCCGGCUUGGUGUUGGGCCCUGCCUGGGGUGGGUGGCCCUAAAGACAGUGGCGGUGCCGCCUGGCCCUCAGCGUAGUACAACUCUCGCUCCAAGGUCCGGUGGUGGUCUGUCAGAACCCCCAACUCUGUGGUUGACCUCGGAUCAGGUAGGGAUACCCGCUGAACUUAA